rnacentral:tRNA from 11 species
AGUGCUGUAGGCAAAUGGUUUAAGCCGCUUGGUUUUCACCCAAGUGAUUGCGGGUUCAACUCCCGUCAGCACUU